rnacentral:rRNA from 1 species
UAUAAUGCAGUCGAGCGGACAGAUGGGAGCUUGCUCCCUGAUGUUAGCGGCGGACGGGUGAGUAACACGUGGGUAACCUGCCUGUAAGACUGGGAUAACUCCGGGAAACCGGGGCUAAUACCGGAUGCUUGUUUGAACCGCAUGGUUCAAACAUAAAAGGUGGCUUCGGCUACCACUUACAGAUGGACCCGCGGCGCAUUAGCUAGUUGGUGAGGUAACGGCUCACCAAGGCGACGAUGCGUAGCCGACCUGAGAGGGUGAUCGGCCACACUGGGACUGAGACACGGCCCAGACUCCUACGGGAGGCAGCAGUAGGGAAUCUUCCGCAAUGGACGAAAGUCUGACGGAGCAACGCCGCGUGAGUGAUGAAGGUUUUCGGAUCGUAAAGCUCUGUUGUUAGGGAAGAACAAGUGCCGUUCAAAUAGGGCGGCACCUUGACGGUACCUAACCAGAAAGCCACGGCUAACUACGUGCCAGCAGCCGCGGUAAUACGUAGGUGGCAAGCGUUGUCCGGAAUUAUUGGGCGUAAAGGGCUCGCAGGCGGUUUCUUAAGUCUGAUGUGAAAGCCCCCGGCUCAACCGGGGAGGGUCAUUGGAAACUGGGGAACUUGAGUGCAGAAGAGGAGAGUGGAAUUCCACGUGUAGCGGUGAAAUGCGUAGAGAUGUGGAGGAACACCAGUGGCGAAGGCGACUCUCUGGUCUGUAACUGACGCUGAGGAGCGAAAGCGUGGGGAGCGAACAGGAUUAGAU